rnacentral:tRNA from 1 species
GGACGCUUAGCUCAGUGGUAGAGCAUUACCUUCACACGGUAGGGGUCGCUGGUUCAAUCCCAGCAGCGUCUACCA